UGUGGACUGUGGGAUCUUCAUGCUGAUGUAUGCUCUGCACAUGGUCUUUGAGGCACCCUUUGAUUUUACAGCUUCGGAUUUUCCUCUUAUUCGAAAAUGGUGGUGCCUUAUUCUCAUGGAGAAUUUUGCCAUUGAAAGGUAACUCUCUUGCUUUCUCAAGUUUUUCUCUGUCUAUAAAUUUACUUAAAAAUGUAUUUGUCACAGGAAACAUGCUGC